CGAAGGGUGCAAGCGUUAAUCGGAAUUACUGGGCGUAAAGCGUGCGUAGAUGGUUCAUUAAGUCGGAUGUGAAAGCCCCGGGCUCAACCUGGGAACUGCAUCCGAUACUGGUGGACUAGAGUGCGGUAGAGGAUGGCGGAAUUCCCGGUGUAGCGGUGAAAUGCGUAGAGAUCGGGAGGAACAUCCGUGGCGAAGGCGGCCAUCUGGACCAGCACUGACGUUGAGGCACGAAAGCGUGGGGAGCAAACAGGAUUAGAUACCCUGGUAGUCCACGCCCUAAACGAUGUCGACUGGAUGUUGGGUGCAACUUGGCACUCAGUAUCGAAGCUAACGCGUUAAGUCGACCGCCUGGGGAGGUACGCGCGCAAGCGUG
rnacentral:rRNA from 1 species